CCUACGGGGGGCAGCAGUAGGGAAUGUUCGGCAAUGGGGGGAACCCUGACCGAGCAACGCCGCGUGAAAGAAGAAGUUAUUCGUAAUGUAAAGUUCUUUUAACAGGGAAGAAAGAGAAAUUGGACGGUACCUGAAGAAUAAGCUCCGGCUAACGACGUGCCAGCAGCCGCGGUAAUACGUAGGGAGCGAGCGUUAUCCGGAAUUAUUGGGCGUAAAGGGUGCGUAGAUGGCAUAGUAAGUCUUUUGUAAAAAUGCUGGGCUCAACCCAGUAGGGCAAAAGAUACUGCAAAGCUAGAGUAUGCCAGAGGCCAGUGGAACUACAUGUGUAGCGGUUAAAUGCUUACAUAUAUGUAAGAACACCAGUGGCGAAGGUGGCUUGCUGGGUCGAUACUGCCAUUGAGGCACGACAGCGUGGGGAGCAAACAGGAUUAGAUACCCUAGUAGUC
rnacentral:rRNA from 1 species